rnacentral:rRNA from 1 species
UACGGAGGAUCCAAGCGUUAUCCGGAAUCAUUGGGUUUAAAGGGUCCGUAGGCGGUUUUGUAAGUCAGUGGUGGAAUCUGGUCGCUCAACGAUCAAACGGCCAUUGAUACUGCAAGACUUGAAUUACUGGGAAGUAACUAGAAUAUGUAGUGUAGCGGUGAAAUGCUUAGAUAUUACAUGGAAUACCAAUUGCGAAGGCAGGUUACUACCAGUGGAUUGACGCUGAUGGACGAAAGCGUGGGGAGCGAACAGG